rnacentral:rRNA from 1 species
AUGUGUAAUAGAGAAGGAUUCAAGUCAAAAGAUAUUAAGGAGAUUAAUGACCCCUUGAGGAAAAGACGUAAGCAGACAGACACGCGAUGCGGUUGUGAUGCCCAUAUAUUUGUCAGACUUUGUGGGGAGAACACCUACAAGAUAGACUCAUGGAUUGAGCAUCAUGUUCAUGGUCUUGUAUCACCUGAUAAGCGUCAUUUGAUCAGAUCCAAUCGUAGAGUUAGUGAGAGGGCAAAGAAUACUUUAUACACAUGUCAUAAGGCAAGCAUUGGAACCUCCCAGGCAUACAGGCUCCUGCAAGUUAGCGAGGGUGGAAUUCCGAAUGCUGGGUGCACAAAGAGGGACUUGCAAAAUUACUAUCGCGGACUCAGGUAUAAAAUCAGAGACGCAGAUGCUCAAAUGUUUGUGGCCCAAUUAGCUAGAAAGCAGGAAGUGAAUUCAGCAUUUUUCUAUGAUUUUGAGGUGAAUGAUGAGGGGAACCUGGUGCGUGUGUUCUGGGCGGAUGCCACAAGUAGGAAGAACUAUAGUCACUUUGGUGAUGUGAUAUCCUUCGAUUCUACAUACACCACUAAUCAUUACAACAUGAUAUUUACACCAUUUACAGGGGUUAAUCAUCACUUACAAAGUGUCCUUUUUGGUGCUGGAUUCUUAUCAAAUGAGAAGGAUGAGUCAUACAUUUGGUUAUUUCAGACCUUCCUAAAAGCAAUGGGAGGGGUAGCACCUAGACUCAUCAUAACUAAUGAAGCUGCUAGCAUCAAGAAUGGUAUUGAAAAAGUUCUUCCAGCCACUAUGCAUAGGUUAUGCAUGUGGCAUAUAAUGGAAAAGGUGCCUGAAAAAGUUGGACCUUUGAUUAGAGAAGAUUCUGAAUUUUGGCCGAGGUUGAACUCAUGUGUUUGGGGUUCAGAAACUGCAAGUGAGUUUGAAUCACAAUGGAAUUCCAUCAUUACAGAUUUUGGGUUGGAGGAUAACGAGUGGUUAGCUAAGAGGUUUACCAUUAGAGAUACAUGGAUACCAGCCUACUUUAUGGAUAUAUCUCUUGCGGGCUUGCUCCGAACCACUUCAAGGUCAGAAAGUGCAAAUUCUUUUUUCAACCGUUUCAUUCAUCGUAGGCUUGCUUUUGUUGAGUUCUGGCUUAGGUUCGACACAGCUUUAGAAUGCCAACGUGAGGAAGAAUUAAUGGCAGACAAUAGAAGCAUGCAUACCACCCCACAACUAUUUACGCCAUGGACAAUGGAGAAACAAGGUAGUGAGGUAUUCACAUAUGAGGUAUUCGAGAAAUUUCAGCUACAAGUUAUUGCUGCUAGAGAUCAUUGUUGUGUUCAGGGUAUUGCACAAGGUGUGGGGUUAAAAAUGGUGACCCUGAGAGGUCGAUCUGAUAAGGUUAGGGAGGUCUCCUAUGACACUACAACCAUGAUAGCAAAUUGUCCGUGCAAGUUAUUUGAGUCAAUCGGUAUUCCAUGUCGACAUAUUAUCCAAGUGUUGAGGAUUGAGAACCAAAACGAGCUUCCCAACUACUACAUUAUGAAAAGAUGGCAGAAACGGUGCAAGAGGUAA